CGCCAGGGCCGGACCACGAGUCUCUCCUUGCGGCGCUACACUAGAGCAGAGUACGAGUCUGAGGCGGAGGGACUCAUGGCAGGACAAGCGUUUAGAAAGUUUCUUCCACUCUUUGACUGAGUAUUGGUUGAAAGGAGUGCUGCUGAAACUGUAACCAAAGAAGGCAUUAUGCUUCCAGAAAAAUCUCAAGGAAAAGUAUUGCAAGCAACAGUAGUCGCUGUUGGAUCGGGUUCUAAAGGACAGGGUGGAGAGAUUCAACCAGUUAGCGUGAAAGUUGGAGAUAAAGUUCUUCUGCCAGAGUAUGGAGGCACCAAAGUAGUUCUAGAUGACAAGGAUUAUUUCCUAUUUAGAGAUGGUGACAUUCUUGGAAAGUACGUAGACUGAAAUAAGUCACUAUUGAAAUGGCAUCAACAUGAGGCUGCCCAUUCCACUGAAGUUCUGAAAUUUUUCAUCAUGUAAAUAAUUUCCAUAUUUCUCUUUUAUAAUAAACUAAUGAUAAAAAAAGAACAAAA